UCCCAGACUCCUACGGGAGGCAGCAGUGAGGAAUAUUGGUCAAUGGGCGCGAGCCUGAACCAGCCAAGUCGCGUGAGGGAGGACGGCCCUACGGGUUGUAAACCUCUUUUGCCGGGGAGCAACGGGCGUCACGUGUGGCGUCACUGAGAGUACCCGGAGAAAAAGCAUCGGCUAACUCCGUGCCAGCAGCCGCGGUAAUACGGAGGAUGCGAGCGUUAUCCGGAUUUAUUGGGUGUAAAGGGCGUGUAGGCGGGACUGCAAGUCAGAUGUGAAAAUUAUGGGCUCAACCCAUAACCUGCAUUUGAAACUGUAGUUCUUGAGUGAUGGAGAGGCAGGCGGAAUUCCGUGUGUAGCGGUGAAAUGCGUAGAUAUACGGAGGAACACCAGUGGCGAAGGCGGCCUGCUGGACAUUAACUGACGCUGAGGCGCGAAAGCGUGGGGAGCAAACAGGAUUAGAUACCCUUGUA
rnacentral:rRNA from 1 species